rnacentral:rRNA from 1 species
UACGUAGGGUGCAAGCGUUGUCCGGAAUUAUUGGGCGUAAAGAGCUCGUAGGCGGUGUGUCGCGUCGGCCGUGAAAACCUGCAGCUUAACUGUGGGCUUGCGGUCGAUACGGGCAUCACUGGAGUUCGGCAGGGGGAGACUGGAAUUCCUGGUGUAGCGGUGAAAUGCGCAGAUAUCGGGAGGAACACCAAUGGCGAAGGCAGCUCGCUGGGACGGUACUGACGCUGAGACGCGAAAGCGUGGGGAGCAAACAGG